rnacentral:rRNA from 1 species
AGUGAACGCUGGCGGUAGGCCUAACACAUGCAAGUCGAACGGCAGCACAGUAAGAGCUUGCUCUUACGGGUGGCGAGUGGCGGACGGGUGAGGAAUACAUCGGCAUCUACUUUUUCGUGGGGGAUAACGUAGGGAAACUUACGCUAAUACCGCAUACGACCUACGGGUGAAAGCAGGGGAUCUUCGGACCUUGCGCGAUUGAAUGAGCCGAUGUCGGAUUAGCUAGUUGGCGGGGUAAAGGCCCACCAAGGCGACGAUCCGUAGCGGGUCUGAGAGGAUGAUCAGCCACACUGGAACUGAGACACGGUCCAGACUCCUACGGGAGGCAGCAGUGGGGAAUAUUGGACAAUGGGCGCAAGCCUGAUCCAGCAAUACCGCGUGGGUGAAGAAGGCCUUCGGGUUGUAAAGCCCUUUUGUUGGGAAAGAAAAGCAGCAGGUUAAUACCCCGCUGUCCUGACGGUACCCAAAGAAUAAGCACCGGCUAACUUCGUG